UGAUAGAUGUUUUUUCACAACUCACCAGAUAAUCCGAACUCCUCACUCAUUUUUCUCCGGACUGCUACCUGUGGAUACGAGAGAGGGGGGAAGAGUCUCCAUCAAGCAUGGUCGGAGUGAACCGCGUUCAGCAGAUUGCUGCUCCGCCAGCCGUUGGAGAUGUAGGCACCACCGUGUCUGAGUCUUCUCCAAUAGCUGCGCCCAGAUGACGGCCAUUUCCAGCAGGAUUUUCGGGUUACCUGAACCAAAUUUAAAGACCUGUUGGUGAGGGGCGGCUCCAGGAUAUCCCUCCAGGAAACCGAUUACAGACGCUCUAUCCCAGCUGCAGAGCGCCUGUCCAUCUGUUUGCUGUGAGUAAAAGGAUUUAUGUUUAUAUUUUCACACCAGUGAAAAUCCUCCGGUCUGUUUUUAUACAUCAACCAGAAUCUUCAUGCUGAUUUGUUUUCGUGACACGAAUAUUCACUCAAGUUAAGAUAUUUUCAACUCUCGCAAAUUCCCGUCUGUUCAAUUCAGCGAAUAACUCAUUUGCACAAAUGAUUUUAGUUGUGCUUGGUGUGAACGCCCCAUUAAAGUUCUUCCUCUUACCACGAACUCAGAACGGCUCCGAUUCUAAACGGCGCCAAUUUUUCGCCGAUUCCUACAGGAUCCUUUUUUGAUGCGAAUUUAAUGGUGGAUUACGGACAGCAAGAAUCGCGAGAACUCACAAGAACCCGUGGAUUCAUGUGCAAUUGAGUGAUAUCAAGUUGUCUUUAGCCACAUAUGCUAACCAUAUAGGCAGUAGACUGUGUCCUUCCAGAAGAGGAAAUCUACUUCUAGACUUGUAAAUGAACAUCCUCUCAUGGUGUCAUCGGGGUGAAAUGCUGUCUAUAAACCUUUCACUUGUUCAUCCCAGCCAUUUGCAUGGUGUGAAAUACGAUCCGCCUGAAACACUUGCGAUCAGCUGUGGAGUCCGCAGCAGAACGGAAAGAAGCCGGUGGAAAUCGACACAUUACCUUGAAUGGUUACGAUCAGCUACGAUCGGAGGAUACGGCCUUUUCGUAGCCGUUCUGGAUGUGGUGUAAAUUGCCACUAACAGGCUCAGGUUAUCACUCUGUGUGUCUCAACAUCACUGAGAUCGGUUUCUCUCUAAAGAGAGCAGAGCUCGACUGCAGUGACGAAAACUCUAAAGGUGACUGCCUCCUGCUAAAAUCGAUGUGCAUUACUUCUUUCACUCUCUGUACUUCUGGCUUGUAUUUCUUCUGUCUUAUUUAAAGCACCUUGAACCGCCUCGUUGUCUUCGUGCCCAAACGCUGUCAGCUUCAGUCA